GGACAAAGGCAGAGUGCAAAACCCUGUUUUGUGAAUUCCAUAGCAGCCCUACUGGAGGCCACAGCGGGAUUUUUAAAACAAGAAAUGCUUUGUCCAGUCGAUUCUACUGACAUUGAGAAAUGGGUCAGUGAAUGUGAUCAGUGCCAAAGGGUUGGAAAACCACUUGUGAUUGAUGCUAAACUGGAAAGUAUUAAGCUGCAGGAGGCUCAAAGGAAGGCAUCAGCCUCUUUCUAAGCAAACCUUGGGAUUUAUGAAGAAACUGACAGGAGCAUGUGCCUCCCUCCAAGGCAACUCUGACCCAUGCUUACACACAGAAACUGGAGAAAUGAGAAGCUGUGACUCUGAAGGAUAAAACUC